UCUCUAUACCCCUUCAUACACACUCAUGCCUUCUCAACACACGUACCAGCCCACUUGCACGCACUUGCAAGCGCUUGCACCCUCCACACGCACCGCUCGGAGCUUUUCCCCCUCUCUCCUCCCAAUGGCUGGCUUCUGGAGCCGACCCUUCCACGCGCCCCCAGCUUCGCGGCAGCUAGGUCCCUCCCCAGCGCGCUGAGCUCACAGCGCAGGAGCCGGUCGCAGCCACACAGGCCGGUCCGACGGGACCACUGCUUCCCUCCUCACAUCCCAGGAGACACCAGGUGGGGCGUGGCACCUCCCACACACGGCUGGAGGGACUCCCAGGAUUUCCCGUCCUUCCGAAUUCGUGGGGGGUCAGAGGACUGCGGGGAGGCGUUUCUCAUCCUCGCUGGGGAAAGGACUCACCUGGUUCCCAAAGCCAGUUUGCUCUUCCUCUACUUCCUGCCAGAGGUCGUAGGAUUUCUGAUGAUCUGCCCUGAUGUCCCAACAUUCUUGGGGAGCCUGGCCUUAAAGAACAAUGGAAAGAAGCAGUCAUAGGAAUCCUGGACCAGGAAUAUGUGCCUGAGAGGGAUUAUACACCUGGUGCUGAGCAGUGCCGUCCAGCUCUUUAAAAGGAUUGAGAAGAGCCAGAAGGAAAUCAACCUGCCCAUGGAGCUUCUGGGAUGGAUUAAGCCAUUGUAUCACAGCAGUUCUGGAAAGAAGAAAAAGGUGGCACACAAAAUAUACAGGAAAGUGUUUUAAUUUACUCAGUGCCCUAAAAGCUAAGAACAAGACUAAAUAAGUAAAAUUGAAAGGGCUAUACUACAUUCAUUUGUAUUUUCUGCACUGCAUGCUGCUCUAUAAAUACUCUUUCUCACUAUAUACUGUUUUCCCUAACUAGACUGAAAGUUCCUGGAGGUCAUCAACCACAUAUAUUUCUUUUGUAGCCCCCAAAUCGCCCACCACAGAGUACACAGCGUAUGCUCAAUAAAUGCUGUUGACCAACUGA
rnacentral:lncRNA from 1 species